CAGUGAUGGACAGGUGACCUGUCCAGGGCGGACACUGCCUUUCACCUGAGGACGGCUUGAGAUAGGCACCAGUCUCCCACCAACUAACCCUGCAAGGAUGAGCAGGGGAUGUGAACACCUUUAGCGCUGAGGGUUUGCUGAAAGUAAGCUGGCAACGUUAACAAGACACCUGAUACCCGUGCCUGAUUCAGAGAGUUAUCGAACCUGCCGUCCUCUGUCUUUAGGCGUGGGUGUGAAAAGGACCGCAUUCCCAGUGGGGACGGUUAAGUCCCUCGCGAGGGGAAGCAAUCAGACCCAAACCUCCAAAUGAUGAGUGUCAUCCUCUUCCCUCCUCAUCCGCCCAGACGCUGCGAGUGGCGGUUGGUUUGUCCCAUCUUCACCACCACACUCUGGGCUGGGGUUCUCUGUGCUUAACCCACACGUCUGAACUUGAAUCACAGCAAUAAAGAGACGCUAGGAGGACAACAAUGGCAUCUGCCCCCCUGCUCUUACUCACAUUGGACGCAUGUAUGUAAAAUUCCCAACCUCAAAUAUGGGACGCAAGAGUCGGAGUUUGGACAGCGGCGCUGUUUACUAAACAAAUUAGAAGCUGGUAUUUAUGAAUGUGGCUGAUUUAAUUGUACAUGUUUUCCAACACGUAGAGUAGAGACUGAUAA